GUGCCAGCAGCCGCGGUAAUACGGAGGGUGCGAGCGUUAAUCGGAAUUACUGGGCGUAAAGCGCAUGCAGGUGGUUUGUUAAGUUCAGAUGUGAAAGCCCGGGGCUCAACCUCGGAAUUGCAUUUGAAACUAGGCAGACUAGAGUACUGUAGAGGGGGGUAGGAAUUUCAGGUGUAGCGGUGAAAUAGCGUAGAGAUCUGAAGGAAUACCGGUGGCGAAGGCGGCCCCCUCGGACAGAUACUGACACUCAGAUGCGAAAGCGUGGGGAGCAAACAGGAUUAGAUACCCCUGGUAG
rnacentral:rRNA from 1 species